rnacentral:rRNA from 1 species
AAAGGGUGCGUAGGCGGUUCUUUAAGUCAGGGGUGAAAGACGGUAGCUUAACUAUCGCAGUGCCUUUGAUACUGAAGAACUUGAAUACACUUGAGGUAGGCGGAAUGUGACAAGUAGCGGUGAAAUGCAUAGAUAUGUCACAGAACACCAAUUGCGAAGGCAGCUUACUAAAGUGUCAUUGACGCUGAGGCACGAAAGCGUGGGGAUCAAACAGGAUUAGAUACCCUUGU